rnacentral:lncRNA from 1 species
GCUGUAUAAAAACUUUGUAAAAAAUAUCUUUAAAAAAAGUGUAAAAAUGUGCAUUCAAAAGCACGGCCGACACGGACAGCUGGGCUGUAAACAUUAUACUGAGAGUGUGCUUGUGGGGGGGCGCCUGCGCCACCGGGCCCCGACGGGCCUGCCACCGGAUGGGGCGCGUCAAGUGUCUGCGGUUCUGCGGCUGCCUUCCGUGCCGAGUGUGCGCCGGGAGCGGCGGCAGCCUCCGGGGACGGCUCCGGCGGGCCACGGUCCCUGCGCCCCACGGGCACGCCGAGGGCUGUGGGGAGGAGGGCUGAGCGGGAGGUCUUCUCCCGCCUUCGCGUUCUCUGUGCGCCGCGGGUCCCCGGGGCCACCGACAGGCCGCAGGGCCGUGAUGAGGUAUCACACGGAGGUUGCCCUCACCCGCGCCACCAGCCCCGCUCCCGGGUUCAGCCACGGAGUAGACGGUUGACGGAUUCCCAAUCUUCUCUGUCCCCAAAUUUUUUUUGGUCCAUAGUUCCCAAGGAAGCCCACUGAGUCCUGGACGCACCAGGCCUCGGUGCACAGUUCUUCAUACGGUACAUACAUUAGAGACCCUGGAAGACCCUGUGCCGGUCUCCUCCUCCAGUGCCACCUUCACUUCUUCUCCAGCUGCUCCAGCAGCGGGUUGGCUUCGCUCUCGGGCGUCUUGAUGCUGUCUGUCCGUACGAUGCAGGUGGGACGGUGCCGGUUCAGCAUCAGGAUCAGCUGCUGCCUCUCUUGUUUCAGCUCUUCUAUCUGGGCCUUCAGUUCAGCGUUCAUGAGCUCCAGGCGCUCGGACUCCCGCUGCAGGAACUCCGUCCUCUCCUUCUUCUUGUUACGACAUCGCGCUGCUGCUACUUUGUUUUUCUCCCGGCGCCUUUUCCUCCUCUCCUCUUCCUCAUCAAGCUCACUUUUCACAGGCUGGGGUCUCUUCCCGAGCUUCACCUCCAGGAAGUGGAGCGGUGAGAUCAUGGCCCCAAUGUUGCGGAUGUCGGCGUAUUUCAGCUCCUCGGCUGUCAGGGCGGUGCCAGGCAGUCCUGUCAAGGGGCCGAGCCCUGGCAGUGCACCGGCCGUCAGGGACGGGUCGGGGAUCUGCCCGGGCAUCAUAGCAGGGGCAGCAGCUCCGCAGGCGUGCACGGGGAGCGGGCCGCCGGGGUGACCGCGGGGCCCGGCCGCAGGGGCCGGGCGCGGGCUGCAGGCUCAGCCCCGCCGCCGCCCGGCGCUGCCCCGACCCCCGGGCCCCGCCCGCCGCCGGUGUCGGUCCCGGUGCCGGCCGCCGCCGGGGCGCCUUGGCCCGCCGCCCCCCGCCGCCCCGGUGCGCGCCUCCCGCAGGCUGUGGCGGGCGGCGGGGUGGGUUGCAUCAGCCCCGGUUAUAUAGCGGCCCCGGGCUGCGGGGAGGGGUCGGGAAUGCGGAACCGGCUGGGCUGCCAGCGCCACACGUCAGGGAGGGCGGGCGGGGGAGCGGGGCCGCGGGGCGGGGAGCGGCGCGCAGGGGUGGGACCAGCCGGCGGCACCGGCACCCCCGGCACCCCCGGCACCCCGGCACCCCCGGCCCCGCCGCGCCGCUGCCCCCCAACCCGCGCUGUGCCCCGGCCCGGCCCGUGCUGCCCUGCGUGGUGCCGGCCGCCCCGCGCCCCAUCCGGGAUGAAGAGGAGCCGGGACGAAGCGG